rnacentral:rRNA from 1 species
CCAGACUCCUACGGGAGGCAGCAGUGAGGAAUAUUGGUCAAUGGGCGGGAGCCUGAACCAGCCAAGCCGCGUGAGGGAAGAAGGUACAGCGUAUCGUAAACCUCUUUUGUCAGGGAACAAAGGCGGGGACUAGUCCCCGGAUGAGGGUACCUGAAGAAAAAGCAUCGGCUAACUCCGUGCCAGCAGCCGCGGUAAUACGUAGGGGGCGAGCGUUGUCCGGAAUUACUGGGCGUAAAGAGAGCGUAGGCGGCACUACAAGUCUCAUGUGAAAUACCCGGGCUUAACUUGGGGGUUGCAUGGGAAACUGUAGAGCUUGAGUACAGGAGAGGCAAGCGGAAUUCCUAGUGUAGCGGUGAAAUGCAUAGAUAUUAGGAGGAACACCAGUGGCGAAGGCGGCUUGCUGGACUGAAACUGACGCUGAGGCUCGAAAGCGUGGGGAGCAAACAGGAUUAGAUACCCUCGUAA